rnacentral:rRNA from 1 species
GGAUUAGAUACCCUGGUAGUCCACGCCGUAAACGAUGUUCACUGGUUGUACGCGAUACACUGUGUGCGACUGAGGGAAACCAUUAAGUGAACCACCUGGGGAGUACGUUGGCAACAAUGAAACUCAAAGGAAUUGACGGGGGCCCGCACAAGCGGAGGAACAUGUGGUUUAAUUCGAUGAUACGCGAGGAACCUUACCUGGGCUUAAAUGUAGAGUGCAUUAUCUGGAAACAGGUAUUUCCUUCGGGACUCUUUACAAGGUGCUGCAUGGUUGUCGUCAGCUCGUGCCG